UUUUGUGCCUUCUCUGAGGAUGUUAUUGCUGGUUUUUGUUGUUUGUUUGGUGUCUUUUCAGAACCAGUUCUGUAUAGUGUGUUCUUUUUUGUAUGUGGCCACUGAAGUCUCUACAUGAUUUGCUGAGUGCUUAGCUAAUGACUGGACAGAGUUUUCCUUAGGUGCCUGGAACUAAAAAGUUUCUGACUUUUUGCUGAGGGGCUAUGUGUACCUGUUGGUGCUUGCCCUAAACACUCACCAGGCAGUUGACAACUCUGCCUUAACCUGUACUUAACUUGCUUGUGCAGAGAGCUUAGGGCCUUCUUGGAUCUUUGCUGAACCUGCUCACGCACCCCCCCACACACAUGCAUGUGGCCUUGUAGAUUCCCAGGAAUAAUAAAUAAUAUAGUGAAGUUUUUCAGAACCCCAUAUCACAUCUUAUUCCCUGCUUUUCUUUUUAAGCUUUUUUUUUUUUUUUUUUUUUGCCUUGAUGGUUAGCCAUCUGCGUGGGCAGUGCAGUGUUCAACAAUUGCCUAUGAUUGUUUUUGACCAGCCUGCUUUCCCCUUACAAGAGGCUGUUUGCAAUAGGAAAAUUCUGAGUCAGGUCAAAUGAAGACAACAUUGCAAGGUCUUCCAGGGAACUACCAGAUAGAUCAGAGAUAAUGGCAGUUCCUUGGGAAUGGGACUUUGAAGGAGCUCCAGCACCUCUUUGACCCCUCUAGUGGCUUCCAGGCUGCUGGAUUUUGCUAUGAUUGUAGACUGUUGUUUGUCAAGGCUAGGGUAGAAAACAGGCUGAAAAUAGGGCAAAUUAAAAUGCCAUAAAGCUUACUGUUACCAAAAAUUUCAUCUUUUUCUUCUAUAAAUGUUGUCUGGAUUACUGCAGAUCUUUAAUAUUCAGAGUCUUGUAAAGGUUGCCUCUGCCCAUUUUUGCCAGUGUUCUCUUGACUUUUAGGGCAGACAGAAUUUUUGGAGGUCUUCACUCUGCCAUUUUCACUGAUGUCACCUGAGAGCAUCCAUUAUGGGGCUUUAGCUCCACAGCUUAAAUUUGGCUUUUUGUAAUUAGAUGAAUUACGCUGAAUGUCCCCUUAUACGCUAUUUAAGAAGUCAGGGUAUCAUGCCCUAAAAAUUAGAAAGACCUUCAACCACUUAGUUACAAUAUUCAAUAUUCACAUACAUUCAUUUCAAAAAUAAAUUUUGGAUAUCUGUUAGCAAGAGACUGUGCUAGCUAGGGACACAGCAGUGCAGAAAGCCAAGACCUUGGUCUAUAUGCUGGUGGAGCAAGGUGGGGUGCUGUGAAACAGACAGUGCAGAGGAGUAUGUGUGGUUUUAGGACAUAGCAUGGUGGCCAGCACGACUGGAAUGGAAUGACAAGGCAGAGCAGGGUGAAGGGUGAGGCCAGACAGCAACAAAGUUGAGGGGAGGCAGGGAAUGCUAAGGACAUUGGUUUGGGCACAAAUAGGCAUGGCUUGAAUCACGAGGCUUCAUUCAGCUUAGUUCUUCAUUAGCUGUGUGGUCUUGGGCAGCAAGUUACCCGACUCCCCUGAACCUUAAUUUCCCUAAAAAUGAAAUUGUCAGUUUAUCCUUGGGUGGUUCCAAGGAUAAAUUGAGAUGCUGCAUAUUACCUAUUAUCAUAGCUCAUGUUUGGGACAGACGAGUGCUUGUAAAAUGUGAGGGCUACCAGAAACUAUCCUCACGUAUCUGAAAAGCAAAUCCCUUCAGAACCCAUUCCCUGAGACCGCCGGAUAGAUUCUGACCUAUAUAAACAAAUGCUUGAAUAUGAUUUGUAGUAACGUUGUAGUCUUGGAAUCCCAUGUUUUUGUUUACAAUUUAGGAAGACUAUUUUGACAGAACCAAUCAUAGUUUACCUAAAAUGGAUGUGUUAGUUGCUUUGGAUCUGUGUUUUUUUCUUUCUUUCUUUCUUUUUUUUUUGGCAAAACAAACCUUCUUCAAGUACGUGAACAUCUCUGAAAUGGUUUCACCAUUUGGUAUAUCAGAGUCCUGUGAUUGUGAGGGCCUCUGAGCACAUUCUCAGGAGGUGGGAUUGAUAGAUCUUUUUUUUUUAUCUUAAGGCAUAACACAAUGGCAUUUCCUGUAUACAGUUGAAGACAUUGAGAUCACAGCUCUUAUCACGUCAGUUCCUAUAAUAGAACUGAUGAGUUAGCUUGUUCUCACACUGCUAUAAGGAAAUACCAGAGACUGGGUAAUUUAUAAAGAAAAGAAGUUUAAUUGGCUCAUCCUUCCAUAGGCUGUACAGGAAGCAUAGCAUAGGUAUCUGUUUGGCUCCUGGGGAGGCUUCAGGGAGCUUUUACUCAUGGUGGAAGGCAAAGGGGAAGCAGGCAUCUCUUUUUUUUCUUUCUUUUUUUUAAUUUAAAUUUCCUGGCAAACUUUCAUUUAAAGCAGGCAUCUCACAUGGCAAGAAUGGGAGCAAGGGAGUCGGGGUGGCACACAUGUUUAACCAACCUGAUCUUGUAAAGAACUCACUGUUAGGAGGACAGUAGAAAGGCUAAACCAUUUAUGAGGGAUCCACCCCCAUGAUCCAGUCGCCUCCCACCAGGCUCCACCGCCAACCACUGGGGAUUACAUUUCAACAUGAGAUUUGAAUGGAGACAAAUAUCCAACUACAUCACCUGGUAAUCUGCCUCUUAAAAAGUACAUCAAUAUUCAAAGCAUUUUGAGAUAAGAAUAAAACAAGGCUCGACAGUGGUUCACUCCUGUAAUAGCAGCACCAAGGUGGGAGGAUCACUUGAGCCCAGGAGUUCAAGACCAGCCUGGGCAACAAAGUAAGACCCUGUCUCUGCCCAAAAAAAAAAAAAAAAAAAAAAAAAAAAAAUUAGCUGGGCAUUUUGUUGCACGCCUGUGGUCCUAGCUCCUUGGGAGGUGAGGCGGGAAGAUGGCUUGAGCCUGGGAGGUUGAGGGUGCAGGAGUUGUGCUUGCGCCGCCGCACACCAAGGCAGAAUACUGUCAGCUACACGGGAAAGCACAGGGUGGGUGCCGGGAACAAUUAGAGCAGGCAGGACGAGCUGGGGAGCUGUAGGGGCACUCUGAUUGCCUGGGCCACACCCUUCUGUAAAGGCGGCUGGGUUUCUGCACUGUUCCAAUCAUGAAGGAUCCUUGCACAUUUUUUUUUCUUUCUCAGGUAUGCCUUUAUUAGUAGGAAAACAGCCUUGCACGUUUUUAAGAGGUCUUAAGAUGGCAGCAGUAGAGCUUUUUGAGUCUUUAGUUCUAAUAUUUAAUCAUCUUUAUUGAACUAAUAAGACUAUCUGGUGUUUAAAGAGGAUCAGGUGAGAGAACAAAGGCGAAGCUGGCUCUGGUGGUGGCAGUGUUAUUUGGCUAAGCCAGUGUCAUCUGGGAUAGGACAGUCAGAGGUAAAGCGUGAGAUUUAGAGGUGUGUGGACGUCAACUAUUAGCAUUGCCGGUGGGUCUUAGACCAGGUGGGAGUUUUUCAGGAGCAGACCGUCUGCAAGAGAGUCACUCGAGGUGAUUGUUAAUGGACAAAUUUCUGGACCCCAGACUUGGCAGGUAGAGUCCAGUGAUCUGCACCAUUUACAGGCCUCUCUGGUGAAUCUUAUACUUGCUAGUAUUUAAUAACCAUCAUUGCCAUUUAUGCUUUUAAAAUGUUUCUUAUGAUUUAGUGAUGUUAUGGAUGUGUGAAAACUGAAGUUAGGUUUUUGUUAAGUGACAUCAUCCCAUUUAGCCCUGGGUCCUAGAGAACAGAAAAGGAAUUGGACUUUGGUCUUUCUAAGAAGUAACUUUUAUAAAGUCAGGUUGGUGAGAAUCCAGACUUGGCUCACAAAUGCCCCCAGUCACAUGUUUGAUAGGUUAAUUCUUUCCCUUCUUUUCUCCUCUGAGCCAUGCUACUGGCAAUGACUUGUAUAACCGGUUGCAGUCAUGUCUUACUUAAUGACAGGGAUACAUUCUGAGAAGUAUGUCCUUAGGUGGUUUUGUUGUGUAAACAUCAUGCGGGCACUUACACAAGCAUAGAUGGUACAGCCUCCAUCUAUGGCUCCUAGGCCACAAACCUGGACAGCAUGUUACUGUGCUGAAUGCUGUAGGCAGCUGGAACACAGUGGUAGGGGUUUGCAUAUCUAAACAUAUUUCAACAUAUGAAAGGCACAGUAAAAACGAGGCGUUGGCAUCUUACAGGACCACAGUAUAAAGGUCUGUUGUUGACUGCAGCAUCUUUACAGGGGCCAUGACCGUAAAAGUGAGCAGAUGAAUGGUCAGCAGUGAAUCCCAAGUCACAGUGUGGAAAUACUCUGUAUUAGAUAAUAUGAUGAAAACAAAGAGCUUUUGGCCAGGGAUUAAACUGACAAACACCUUAAAGCUAAAACUAGAUGAUACUUUAAAACAUCUUUUGUUUCUGCAGUUGAUUUCACAAAUGUUCAUGUGGUUUGGUUAUAAUCCUUCUUAAGCCUUAGCUUUUGUUAGUCACCAUGAAGUGUAACUCUAAAUUUAUUUAUCAAACAAAUUAUAGUUUAAAGAAAGUGGUUGGCUGGGUGUGGUGGCUCACCCCCUGUAAUCCUAGCCCUUGGGAGGCCGAGGCAGGUGGAUCACCUGAGGUCAGGAGAUGGAUACCAGCCUGGCCAACAUGUUGAAACCCGGUCUCU